GGAGGUUAAAAUCCUCCCUACUGC
rnacentral:tRNA from 3 species